UACGGGGGGGGCAAGCGUUGUUCGGAAUUACUGGGCGUAAAGGGCUCGUAGGCGGCCAACUAAGUCAGACGUGAAAUCCCUCGGCUUAACCGGGGAACUGCGUCUGAUACUGGAUGGCUUGAGUUUGGGAGAGGGAUGCGGAAUUCCAGGUGUAGCGGUGAAAUGCGUAGAUAUCGGGAGGAACACCAGUGGCGAAGGCGGCUACCUGGCACAUAACUGACGCUGAUACGCGAAAGCGUGGGGAGCGAACCGG
rnacentral:rRNA from 1 species